AACUGUGAUUUUUUUUCCACUUCACAAUCAACAUUUUUUGUUGGCCUAUAACAUUUAAUUUUCUUAAAGUACAUUGAAAUGUGAGUGUUGGACGUUUAAACCAUAUUUGACAAUGCCAUGUACUCUGGUGUGUUCUAAUUCAAAAGCUUAGACUUUAGAGUUGGAACCCUAAGUACAGAUUCAGUUUGACUUCAAGGCAUGAUUGAGUUGUUUAUAAGUCCAAACAACUCAUUGAAUCAGCGAGUGCACGCUAAAAAAUGCUGGGUUUGAAAGAAUACAACCUGUAACCCGGAGCUGGAUCGAAUUUGAGCCAACACAACGCUGGGUUGUUUGACCCAGAAUAUUGGGUUAUGGAAACAACCCAGAGGUUGGGUUAGAUUGACCAUUGCUUAAAGUUAAAAUGAGCCAAAAACACAUGACAAGGGUUAUUAUACCACAAUAUUUAGGUUAUUUAAAAAAAAAAAAAAAAAUCUUUCUCCUUUCCUCCUUGUGAAGUCUCUAAUAUGCCAACUCAUCAGCUAUAAACGUUUGCCUCCCUGUCGUGUGUUGAACUCGUGACUCUGGUUUGUGUCCAGAUUGACCUGCAUCCCUCCCAGGACUCCCGCUGCCCAGGGAGCGAAGUGUUCACCCAGCACCUGCUGCUUCAGACAGACACUGAGCCAGGUGGCCGCCGAAAACCUGUGCAUGCUGCCACCGAGAAGAUGGUGGAGCAGAAGAGGUGGCAGGGUCCUAUUUUUGGAGGGGCUAUCAUCAAUCCAGAGGCAUGGGUCUGAGUGACAGGACAAGUGUUGGGCUGG